CGGCGGGCCCCGAGCAGCAGCAGCAGCAGCAGUAGCAGCAGCAGCAGCAGCAGCAGCAGCAGCAGCCGCCGAGGCCGGGCGUGCGCCUGAGGCGCGGCGGCGGCGGCGGCCCUGCGGGCGGCCGAGAGGGGCGGGGGCAGAGGCCGCCGCCGUUUGAUGGAUCCGAGGAUCGCCUGGUUCCAGCCAGAGCAGCUCGGACCGUCCAACAGUCUGUGGAUGCAGAUCUGGGAGACGACCCAGGGGCUGAGGAACCUCUACUUCAACCACCACUGUCACAGCAGCGGCGGCGCGAGCGGCGGCGGCGGCGGCAGCAGCACGGCCACCGGCGGGAGCGGCAGCAGCACCGGCAGUCCGGGCGGCGCGGCCCCGGCCCCGGCCCCGGCCGGCAUGUACCGCUCCGGGGAGCGCCUGCUGGGCGGCCACGCGCAGUCGGCGGAGCAGCGGGACUUCCUGCCCCUGGAGACGACCAACAACAACAACAACCACCACCAGCCCGCGGCCUGGGCCCGCCGGGCUGCCGCGGGUCCCUCGGCAUCCCCGUCCCCCUCCGCGUCCUCGUCCCCACACUCCUCCGCCGCCGUCCCUGCCGCGGAGCCAGCGGACCCGGCCUCGGGUAGCAGCAACAAGAGAAAGCGCGACAAUAAGGCUAGCACCUACGGACUCAACUACAGCCUGCUGCAGCCCAGCGGAGGGCGGGCCGCGGGGGGCGCCCGGGCGGACGGCAGCGGGGGCGUGUACAGCGGGACCCCGUGGAAGCGGAGGAACUACAACCAGGGAGUCGUAGGUCUGCAUGAAGAAAUCAGUGAUUUUUAUGAAUACAUGUCUCCAAGACCAGAGGAAGAGAAGAUGCGGAUGGAGGUGGUGAACCGGAUCGAGAGUGUGAUUAAAGAGCUCUGGCCCAGCGCUGACGUCCAGAUAUUUGGAAGUUUUAAAACUGGCCUGUAUUUACCUACUAGUGACAUUGAUCUUGUGGUAUUUGGGAAGUGGGAGAACCUUCCCCUCUGGACCCUAGAAGAAGCUCUUCGGAAACAUAAAGUUGCAGAUGAAGAUUCGGUGAAAGUUCUGGACAAAGCAACUGUACCUAUUAUUAAAUUAACAGAUUCUUUCACUGAAGUGAAAGUUGAUAUUAGCUUUAAUGUACAGAAUGGCGUGCGAGCAGCUGACCUCAUCAAAGAUUUUACUAAGAAAUAUCCUGUAUUACCAUACUUGGUUUUAGUAUUGAAGCAAUUCUUAUUACAGAGGGACCUUAAUGAAGUAUUUACAGGUGGAAUUGGUUCUUAUAGUCUCUUUUUAAUGGCAGUCAGUUUCCUUCAGUUACAUCCCAGGGAAGAUGCUUGCAUCCCCAAUACAAACUAUGGUGUUCUUUUAAUAGAAUUUUUUGAAUUAUAUGGACGACACUUCAAUUAUUUAAAGACUGGCAUCCGGAUAAAGGAUGGUGGUUCGUAUGUGGCCAAAGAUGAAGUACAGAAAAAUAUGCUCGAUGGCUACAGGCCAUCGAUGCUUUAUAUUGAAGAUCCUUUACAACCAGGUAAUGAUGUUGGAAGGAGUUCAUAUGGGGCCAUGCAAGUGAAACAGGCCUUUGAUUAUGCCUAUGUUGUUUUAAGUCAUGCUGUAUCACCAAUAGCCAAAUACUAUCCCAACAACGAAACGGAGAGCAUAUUAGGUAGAAUCAUUAGAGUAACGGACGAAGUUGCCACGUACAGAGACUGGAUAUCAAAGCAGUGGGGCUUGCAGAAUAGGCCUGAGCCUUCCUGCAAUGGAAAUGGUGUUACCUUGAUAGUAGAUACUCAGCAGUUAGAUAAAUGUAAUAAUAAUCUAUCUGAAGAAAAUGAAGCCCUUGGAAAAUGCAGAAGUAAGACUUCAGAAUCUCUUAGUAAACACUCUUCAAACUCUUCAUCAGGUCCAGUGUCUUCCUCUUCUGCCACACAGUCCAGCUCUAGUGACGUCGAUUCCGACGCGACACCGUGCAAAACCCCGAAGCAGCUGCUCUGCCGUCCAUCCACUGGGAACCGAGUAGGGUCACAGGAUGUGUCCUUGGAAUCCUCCCCGGCGGCUGGGAAAAUGCAGAGCACGCAGACCAGUAACACCUCCAACAGCACCAACAAAUCUCAGCAUGGAUCAGCACGGCUCUUCCGUUCUUCCAGCAAAGGCUUCCAAGAGUGGGAUUUCACCGAUUCUGCAUCCCUGUGGCGACAUUUCUCGGGCAGUCAUGUAUGUGUGCCUGGUCGGUGUUGGAGCUCCUUGAAAAGUUAUGAUAAACAUUUCGGUACUGGUUUUCAGACGUGCUGAUGGGUCACGGACACGUCAGCAUAGAACCUGAAUGGUUAUGUUUGGAUGAUGAAGCAUUGCCUUCUGUUGUAAGAAAUGUGGACCCCUGUGAGGUGCUGGAGGUUUGACUCAUCCUGAAAGCUUUCCACUCUUGUCUAGUUACUGCUGCAGAGGCACUAAGGAAUUUACCAGAAAAAGAGAUUUGAUACAAAAUGAUUUAUGAAAUCUCGACAUUUCCUGAGGUCAUAUCACUGGGCACCAGUUACCAAUACUAUGAAUGAAUGGCACACCUGGAAGUUUGUUUUUUGUUUUUUGAGCUCACGACGAUUUCUUCAAAGAUGUCGAUUGUUUGCCUCGAAAAUUUUAUAAAUUGCAUUUCUACGCACAUCUGGCCCCAGUGCUUACCAUUGGGCUUAUUAUUCAUAAUCUGCGAUUCAAUAAAGGCUUUGUGCUUUCAUUUAUCUUCAAAA